ACCGGACCGGCACCGGGCCUGCAGUUCAAGAUGUCUAAAAAAAUCCAUGGAGGCUCCGUUGUGGAGAUGCAAGGAGAUGAAAUGACACGGGUCAUCUGGGAGCUGAUUAAAGAAAAGCUGAUUUUUCCUUAUGUAGAUCUGGAUUUGCACAGCUAUGACUUGGGCAUUGAGCAUCGUGAUGCUACAAAUGAUAAAGUAACUGUGGAAGCUGCUGAAGCCAUUAAGAAAUACAACGUUGGCAUAAAGUGUGCAACCAUCACUCCUGAUGAGAAGAGAGUGGAAGAGUUCAAGUUGAAACAGAUGUGGAAGUCUCCCAAUGGGACAAUUAGAAACAUCCUAGGUGGCACUGUCUUCAGAGAGGCUAUUAUCUGCAAGAACAUUCCCCGGCUGGUGUCCGGAUGGGUGAAACCCAUUGUCAUCGGCCGUCACGCUUAUGGGGAUCAAUACAGAGCAACUGAUUUUGUGGUACCUGGGCCUGGAAAAGUAGAGAUGACCUACACUCCUGCAGAUGGAGGCAAACCAGUCACAUAUCUGGUCCAUAACUUUGAAAGCUGUGGUGGUGUAGCCAUGGGAAUGUACAAUCUUGACCAGUCUAUCAAGGAUUUUGCCCACAGUUCCUUCCAGAUGGCUCUGUCGAAAGGCUGGCCGCUCUACAUGAGCACCAAAAACACCAUUCUGAAGAGAUAUGAUGGCCGCUUCAAAGACAUCUUCCAAGACAUCUAUGACAGAGAAUACAAGUCCCAGUUUGAAGCCAAAAAGAUCUGGUACGAGCACAGGCUCAUUGAUGACAUGGUUGCUCAGGCCCUGAAAUCUGAAGGAGGCUUUGUCUGGGCCUGCAAGAACUAUGAUGGGGAUGUGCAGUCUGACUCUGUUGCACAAGGCUAUGGCUCUCUGGGGAUGAUGACCAGCGUGCUGAUCUGCCCUGAUGGCAAGACUGUUGAAGCAGAAGCUGCUCACGGGACAGUCACUCGUCACUACCGCAUGCACCAAAAAGGCCAAGAAACCUCCACUAACCCCAUUGCCUCCAUCUUUGCAUGGACAAGAGGCCUCGCUCACAGAGCUAAGCUGGACAACAACACUAGCCUCAGGAACUUUGCAGUUGCCCUGGAAGAAGUCUGCAUUGAGACCAUUGAAUCUGGCUUCAUGACAAAGGACCUUGCUGCCUGCAUCAAAGGCCUGCCGAAUGUCACACGCUCUGAUUACCUGAACACCUUUGAGUUCAUGGACAAGCUUGCUGAAAACUUGAAGCGGAAGCUGGCCUCUAUGCCCAAAGCUUAAGGCAUGGGUUACACUCAAGCUCCCCUAACAAAGUGUCUCCCACUUACAUCAGAGUAGUUUCUAUGAGAAACAACAGCAGCUUGAGCUGGUGAAGCCAGGGGGCUGGGAGAUCGCAACUGUUGCUGUGUGUCUUUCUUGCUGGAGCUGCUGUUGUCCUGUGCAGUACUACCCCAAGCUGCCUGAGUGGAACUGACAUGUGGGAAGAUAUCCAGAGCAGAAGAUGGAGUGCUUGUAGCAAACAGGGUGGAACGCUUUCUCCUCUGAGUAACGUGCCCCUGUGAGAGACGAUCAAAUAAAUGUUUUGCCAUCUCAUCGGGCUCAUAUGAAAGAGUAUGACUUUCCAAGGCAAGCGUUGGCAAAUUGUUGGGAUUUUGUUCAGUGCUGCACAAGACAUCUGUUGGAAAGAAAAAAUUCAUGUUUAAGGCUGAGAAACGCAGCAGGCAAAUACCAUCUUUGUCCAUACACUGCCACAGAUCCAGAGCAUAGAAAAAGCAUUAUUUUGAGACAGGGACUCCCCCAACUUACUGUGUACCAGAUUGCUUAGCUGGCUUCUCUCUGAAUAAAAGGGCAGCCCAAAUCAAGAUCCCCUAACUAGCUGUAAUAUUAGGAACACUUAUUAUCUGUAUAAGAGUUAUCAUUUAAAUAGCAAAUCCACAAGAAACUGUGGUGCACCUAGUCAGAUUCUGCACUUUCAGACAUCUUCAAAAGUCUUAUGUACGCUCAGUGCCUAUUACUCAAAAAUCCUGAUUUGUGAGUUUGAUCUAUUGCAAACACACCACAUAUCCCUCUGAAGGACUCUGAUUCUGGGAUAUACAUAACUCCAGCAAUAACAGCCCCAAUGGAGCAUGUAGUUAAUACCAGUCAUUAGGAGCUACUGGAGUUGUGGUUGAGAGCUAAUUAGAGUUAUGGCCUUUAAGCAUUUCUGAGCACAGACACAAAGUCAUACCAGAAGAACAGCAAGAGAUGCAAAUUUACCUCCAAAUAUGUGACAGUCAUGAAAAGCCUCCUCUGUUGCCAUUGCUUCAGUCACCUUUUUGCCAUUCUCUUCCUGGUGGAACUGAGGGUCCUCAUCAUGCUGUGGUGGCAAAGUAUUUUGGGGGGCAACAGGCACAAUUUUCAAGGUCUCAUUAGAAGCAGGUCUCUGAAGUUCUCCUGCAUUAGAAGCAGGUCUCUGAAGUUCUCCUGAGGUUGUUUGUAGUGCUGUGGAGCUGCCAGCUUGCUGCUCUGCAUCAUGCAGCUUGGAAAUGGGCACUCUCAUCGGUAUCUGUGUAACCCUGGUGAGAAGGAAGAGUGGCGAUGGAUCAUGUUUCUCAUAUAUGACAGGCCCCAGAAUCCAGCAGACUAACUACAGGCCACGUGUGGGCAGCUCCAAGGACUGCCCUGUCUUCAAAGAGAGAGAAGAAAUAGAACUUCAAAUAUACUUUAAGAGAUCAUGUUCUGACCAUCUUUCCAGAAAGUUUACAUCAUACAAGCAGAUGACUAUAAAGCAUUUUUAUGUAACAAACAUCAUAGCCAGCUAUGGCACUCACUUGCUCGAGCAAAUCUUGCUGUACUCAGCAGCUAAAAAGAGAAAACUGCCUAAAAGUAACACAGUCUCAAAGAAAGGAGGUAAAAAGACUAGUUUUUGCACAGACUCAGCAUUAGAACAAACAAGACAAGGAGUGGCAAUAAAAAGACAGAAUAAAGGAAAGCAUCAAGCAGUGAUUGUUCAGAGAAGCUAUCUCAUAUGAAACUGGCAACUAGGCACACACAUAAAACACAAAAAGUUUAGCGUAUAGAAAUUCAGGACAAGCUUGGUGGUAUCAUUUUAAAGCCCACCUCAGAAGCUGACCAUCUGCAAUAUCAUCAGCCCAGCUAUCUUCAGUCAUGAUGCUCUUCUGGCCACUGCACAAGGAUGCAGAAUUUAUAUGGAACUGGAAAGAAGAGAAAUAGGAGAGUGAUUUAAAGUUCUUGAAAUCUCUCAUGCGGCCUCCUGCACAGAAACAGCAGAAGGUCAGUUUCUUUAAAAAGUAUGUAAAGUAUUGCCAGCAACCCUCUCACGUUACAGAAUAAAUUAUGGAAUAAAUUG